CCUACGGGGGGCUGCAGUGGGGAAUAUUGCGCAAUGGGCGAAAGCCUGACGCAGCAACGCCGCGUGCGGGAUGACGGCCUUCGGGUUGUAAACCGCUUUCAGCUACGACGAAGUGAAAGUGACGGUAGUAGCAGAAGAAGCGCCGGCUAACUACGUGCCAGCAGCCGCGGUGAUACGUAGGGCGCAAGCGUUGUCCGGAAUUAUUGGGCGUAAAGAGCUCGUAGGCGGUCUGUUGCGUCGGGAGUGAAAACUCAGGGCUUAACCCUGAGCCUGCUCUCGAUACGGGCAGACUUGAGGAACGUAGGGGAGAACGGAAUUCCUGGUGGAGCGGUGGAAUGCGCAGAUAUCAGGAGGAACACCGGUGGCGAAGGCGGUUCUCUGGACGUUUCCUGACGCUGAGGAGCGAAAGCGUGGGGAGCAAACAGGCUUAGAUACCCCUGUAGUC
rnacentral:rRNA from 1 species